UACGUAGGGUCCGAGCGUUUGUCCGGAAUUAUUGGGCGUAAAGGGCUCGUAGGCGGUUUGUCGCGUCGGGAGUGAAAACUCAGGGCUCAACCCUGAGCGUGCUUCCGAUACGGGCAGACUAGAGGUAUGCAGGGGAGAACGGAAUUCCUGGUGUAGCGGUGAAAUGACGCAGAUAUCAGGAGGAACACCGGUGGCGAAGGCGGGUCUCUGGGCAGUAACUGACGCUGGAGGAGCGAAAGCGUGGGGAGCGAACAGG
rnacentral:rRNA from 1 species